AGAAGCUUUAAGAGAGUAAAGUGAAAUGUCCAAGACGUAAAAAAAAAGUUCCGUUCGAGAUUCACGGUGGGAAACAAAGCAUAGCACAUGUAAUUUUGUUUUAGAAUUGUCGUCUGGGAUUGAAAGACCAGGAAAAAUGUCUGCAGAAGCUUAGUAACAUGAAGCUUGAGAGCAAAAAAGCUGGAAAAAUGAGGAUUGCAUUUGGGCAUCAGACAGUUAGCAAAUAUUUGUCACAGAUUAUAAGAAGGCGCUUGUGAGUUUUACUUCUUAAAUAAUGCUAUAAGGUUUGUCCCUUACAGAAGAUUCAUGAUGAAUCUCUUGCCGAGCUCAAGUUGAUACAUGCAAGGAUGAGGGAAUGCGAUACACAUGUUAUAUAGUGAGGAUGGAGACGGAUCACAAGGAGGGACAGAUUAUGAUUUUGAAUCUUGUGAUCCGUAGCCAGAGAAAAACUUGAAAAGCUCCAGUAAGAUCAAUCAGGCUUGGAAAAAAGAGUGAACAAGAAGGUUAUGGCUAUGUUUGAGAAAGCAGAAGAUGAAUACAAUGCUCUGAUAUCGAAGAAAAAUACUACCGAGAAUGACAAAUAAAAAAAUCACAAAAGUGAUUGAGGAGCUUGAUCAGAAGAAAAAAGAAACCCUGAAAGUUACGUGGGUUAAAGUAAACCAGGAUUUCGGAUCAAUCUUGUGAUCCAUAUGUAGCCAGAGAAAAACAUGAAAACCUCCACUCAGAUCAAUCAAGCUUAGAAAGAAAAGUUAACAAGAAAGGUUAUUGCUAUGUUUGAGAAAGCAGAAGAUGAAUACAAUGCUCUGGUAUCAAAGAAAAAUUACCUACGAGGACGACAAAUCCAAAAUCAAGAAGUGAUUGAGGAGCUCGAUGAGAAGAGAAAAGGGAUGAUCUAUUUCUCCAACACUGAGUCUGUGAUGUUCCUCUCUAUUUUCUCUAUUCAGUUUUCCUCCAUUUCUUUCCAUAAAGUUACUUUGGAAAGCAUUAGUGAAUGAUAAAAGAACCUUUGGUGAAUUACGUCUGAGAAUAUCUUUAAAACUGUAUACAUGAAAAGAAAAACUAGAUUGUGCAGAAACGUCAA